UCACCUCUAGCGUUACUAGUAUUAGAGGCACUGCCUGCCCAGUGACAUCCGUUUAACGGCCGCGGUAUCCUGACCGUGCAAAGGUAGCAUAAUCACUUGUUCUCUAAAUAAGGACUUGUAUGAAUGGCCACACGAGGGUUUUACUGUCUCUUACUCUCAAUCAGUGAAAUUGACCUUCCCGUGAAGAGGCGGGAAUAAACAAAUAAGACGAGAAGACCCUAUGGAGCUUUAAUUAAUUAAUCUAAGAAAAACUACUACUACUAAUCAAAAGACUUAAGACAAUUUUCUAAUAGAUUAACAAUUUAGGUUGGGGUGACCUCGGAGUAUAAAACAACCUCCGAGUGAUUUAAAAGCUAGACCUACUAGUCAAACUAACAACUCAUGAAUUGAUCCAAUUCUUUUUGAUCAACGGAACAAGUUACCCUAGGGAUAACAGCGCAAUCCUAUUUAAGAGUCCCUAUCGACAAUAGGGUUUACGACCUCGAUGUUGGAUCAGGACAUCCUAAUGGUGCAGCAGCUAUUGAUGGUUCGUUUGUUCAACGAUUAAAGUCCUACGUGAUCUGAG
rnacentral:rRNA from 1 species